rnacentral:rRNA from 1 species
ACUCCUACGGGAGGCUGCAGCGACGAAUCUUCCGCAAUGGGCGAAAGCCUGACGGAGCGAUGCCGAGUGUGGGAUGAAGCGGCUUUGCCGUGUAAACCACUGUCAGGGGAUAGAAAAAAUGAUCAUCCUCAAAGGAAGGGGCGACUAACCCUGUGCCAGCAGUCGCGGUAAGACAGAGGCCCCAAGCGUUAAUCGGAAUCACUGGGCUUAAAGGGUGCGUAGGCGGAUCUGCAAGUGUCGUGUGAAAGCCCACUGCUCAACGGUGGAACAGCACGGCAAACUGCAAAUCUUGAGGAAUCUAGAGGCCGGUAGAACGAUUGGUGGAGCGGUGGAAUGCGUAGAUAUCAAUCGGAAUGCCAAAGGUGAAGACAGCCGGCUGGGGAUUUCCUGACGCUGAGGCACGAAAGCGUGGGGAGCAAACAGGAUUAGAUACCCUGGUAGUCCACGCCCUAAACAAUGUGUGCUGGAUUACGGCGGCUCUGACGCCGUCGGGAUCGAAGAGAAAUUGUUAAGCACACCGCCUGGGGAGUACGGUCGCAAGGCUAAAACUCAAAGAAAUUGACGGGGGCUCACACAAGCGGUGGAGCAUGUGGCUCA